rnacentral:rRNA from 1 species
AUUGAACGCUGGCGGCAGGCUUAACACAUGCAAGUCGAGCGCGCGGCGGGCGGGUGAGUAAUGUCUGGGAAACACCCUGAUGGCGGGGGAUAACUCCUGGAACCGGUAGCUAAUCCCGCAUACCAUCAGAUUUGCCCAGAUGGGAUUAGCCAGUAGGUGGGGUAAUGGCUCACCAAGGCGACGAUCCAUAGCUGGUCUGAGAGGAUGACCGGCCACACUGGAACUGAGACACGGUCCAGACUCCUACGGGAGGCAGCAGUGGGGAAUAUUGCACAAUGGGCGAAAGCCUGAUGGAGCCAGGCCGCGUGUGUGAAGAAGGUCUUCGGGUUGUAAAGCACUUUCAGUGAGGAGGCGUUACUCGAAGAAGAAGCACCGGCUAACUCCGUGCCAGCAGCCGCGGUAAUAC